rnacentral:rRNA from 1 species
AUAUUGCACAAUGGGGGAAACCCUGAUGCAGCGACGCCGCGUGAGCGAAGAAGUAUUUCGGUAUGUAAAGCUCUAUCAGCAGGGAAGAAACUGACGGUACCUGACUAAGAAGCACCGGCUAAAUACGUGCCAGCAGCCGCGGUAAUACGUAUGGUGCAAGCGUUAUCCGGAUUUACUGGGUGUAAAGGGAGCGUAGACGGAUAGGCAAGUCUGGAGUGAAAGCCCGGGGCUCAACCCCGGAACUGCAUUGGAAACUGUGCUGCUGGAGUGCCGGAGAGGUAAGCGGAAUUCCUAGUGUAGCGGUGAAAUGCGUAGAUAUUAGGAGGAACACCAGUGGCGAAGGCGGCUUACUGGACGGUAACUGACGUUGAGGCUCGAAAGCGUGGGGAGCAAACA